rnacentral:tRNA from 1 species
GCCCUGGUAGUAUAGCCCGGUCUAGUAUAGGCGGCUGUCGCCCGCCCGACAUUACGCAAAGAAGCGUAACGGGAACCGGGUUCAAAUCCCGGCCAGGGCGCCA